rnacentral:lncRNA from 1 species
AAUACUAGAGUUUCAUUGAAACAAAACACACAGAAAAAGGAAGAGAAGCAAAAACACUAUGAGGUUUCUUUGGAACAAAACCCUGGACAAAACCUGGAGAGAAACCUGACAGAGAACUCAGAGCAGCCUCCAAACCCUGAAGGAAACUCAAAUGCACAGAAUCACCUCUGCCUCACAUAAACCCUAAAGAUUGUUUUGUAAACCUCACGGGUGCAACUCAAUUUCAAUCAAGCUCUCC